rnacentral:rRNA from 1 species
AAUUUGUAGAGGAUGUUUCGGGUGAAGCCGCGGUCCAAGUCCCUUGGAACAGGACGUCAUAGAGGGUGAGAACCCCGUACCUGGCCGCCGGUGCCCCCCGCUGUGAAACUCCUUCAACAAGUCGAGUUGUUUGGGAAUGCAGCUCUAAAUUGGUGGUAAAUUCCAUCUAAAGCUAAAUACCGGCCAGAGACCGAUAGCGCACAAGUAGAGUGAUCGAAAGAUGAAAAGCACUUUGAAAAGAGAGUUAAAAAGUACGUGAAAUUGUUGAAAGGGAAGCGCUUGCGGCCAGACUUGCCUGCGGUUGCUCAUCCCGCCUUUUGGCGGGUGCACUCUUCCGCAGUCAGGCCAGCAUCGGUUUGGGCGGUCGGAUAAAGGCGCUGGGAACGUGGCCUCCCCUCGGGGAGGUGUUAUAGCCCGGCGCGCAAUGCGACCAGCCCGGACCGAGGUUCGCGCUUUGCUAGGAUGCUGGCGUAAUGGCCGUAAGCGGCCCGUCUUGAAACACGGACCAAGGAGUCUAACAUCUAUGCGAGUGUUUGGGUGUCAAACCCGUGCGCGUAAUGAAAGUGAACGGAGGUGGGAACCGCAAGGUGCACCAUCGACCGAUCCUGAUGUCUUCGGAAGGAUUUGAGUAAGAGCAUAGCUGUUGGGACCCGAAAGAUGGUGAACUAUGCGUGAAUAGGGUGAAGCCAGAGGAAACUCUGGUGGAGGCUCGCAGCGGUUCUGACGUGCAAAUCGAUCGUCAA